UUUACAACAAUUACAGGGAGCAAGAUCUGUGGAUGUAUACUUCCCUGAAGCACCAUGGUUUGACUACUAUACCGGCCAUAAAGUGCCAAGUACCUGGAAAAAGAACUAUGCUACUGUGGCUGCCCCACUGAGCAAGAUCCCUCUGUUCAUCCGUGGAGGCUACAUCCUGCCAGAACAGGCACCAGCCACGACCACCACUAAGAGCCGUCUGAACCCAUUUGGGCUCAUUAUUGCCCUGGAUGAACAAGGAGAAGCUUCUGGCUCUCUCUUCUGGGAUGAUGGUGAUUCAAUAGAUACUAUUGAAAAGAAUAACUACUUCUUGGCUAAAUAUACGUACAGCAAAGGAAAUCUGAAGACAGAAAUACUUAAAAAUGGGUACCGAGGGGCUGACACUCUGAAGUACAACAAAAUUACGAUUCUUGGCCUGAAACUGAGACCUCAUGCUGUUGCUCUGAAUGGAAGAGCCAUCCAUGGAGAUGCCUUCUCUUAUGAGCUGAGUGGGAAACUCAUUUUAUGGAUUUCUGCCCCACUUACUCAGGAACUCAACAUUACAAUUUACUAGAAAGGUCAGAAAACACUGACAACUUAUCCUUGGCUCCCAGAUAUUGAUCUUUGAUUUUAAUGU